ensembl:snoRNA
GCAAUGAAGACAAACUUUGGUUUUGAUCAACGAGCUGAAAAAAAAACCCUCACCAAUACCUCUAAGAAGUUCUGAGCUC